ACAGCAGCAGCCGCGGUAAUACGUAGGGUGCAAGCGUUAAUCGGAAUUACUGGGCGUAAAGCGUGCGCAGGCGGUUUUGUAAGACAGAGGUGAAAUCCCCGGGCUCAACCUGGGAACUGCCUUUGUGACUGCAAGGCUAGAGUACGGCAGAGGGGGAUGGAAUUCCGCGUGUAGCAGUGAAAUGCGUAGAUAUGCGGAGGAACACCGAUGGCGAAGGCAAUCCCCUGGGCCUGUACUGACGCUCAUGCACGAAAGCGUGGGGAGCAAACAGGAUUAGAUACCCCUGUAGUCCCUGUCUCUUAUAC
rnacentral:rRNA from 1 species